rnacentral:misc_RNA from 1 species
GAUGAAGAACGUAGCGAAAUGCGAUAAGUAAUGUGAAUUGCAGAAUUCAGUGAAUCAUCGAAUCUUUGAACGCACAUUGCGCCCGUCAGUAUUCUGGCGGGCAUGCCUGUUCGAGCGUCAUUACGCCCCUCAAGUCCCCUGUGGACUUGGUGUUGGGGAUCGGCGAGGCUGGUUUUCCAGCACAGCCGUCCCUUAAAUUAAUUGGCGGUCUCGCCGUGGCCCUCCUCUGCGCAGUAGUAAAACACUCGCAACAGGAGCCCGGCGCGGUCCACUGCCGUAAAACCCCCCAACUUUUUAUAGUUGACCUCGAAUCAGGUAGGACUACCCGCUGAACUUAAGCAUAACAAUAAGCGGAGGA